rnacentral:rRNA from 1 species
GUAGGUGGCAAGCGUUGUCCGGAAUUAUUGGGCGUAAAGCGCGCGCAGGCGGUUCUUUAAGUCUGAUGUGAAAGCCCACGGCUCAACCGUGGAGGGUCAUUGGAAACUGGAGAACUUGAGUACAGAAGAGGAAAGCGGAAUUCCACGUGUAGCGGUGAAAUGCGUAGAGAUGUGAGGAACACCAGCGGCGAAGGCGGCUUUCUGGUCUGUAACUGACGCUGAGGCGCGAAAGCGUGGGGAGCAAACAGGAUUAGAUACCCUGGUAGUCCACGCCGUAAACGAUGAGUGCUAAGUGUUAGGGGGUUUCCGCCCCCCUUAGUGCUGCAGCUAACGCAUUAAGCACUCCGCCUGGGAGUACGGCCGCAAGGCUG